GACGAACGCUGGCGGCGUGCUUAACACAUGCAAGUCGAACGGUAAGGCCCUUCGGGGUACACGAGUGGCGAACGGGUGAGUAACACGUGGGUGAUCUGCCCUGCACUUCGGGAUAAGCCAGGGAAACUGGGUCUAAUACCGGAUAGGACCACUGCCCGCAUGGGUGGUGGUGGAAAGAUUUUGCGGUGUGGGAUGGGCCCGCGGCCUAUCAGCUUGUUGGUGGGGUGAUGGCCUACCAAGGCGACGACGGGUAGCCGGCCUGAGAGGGUGACCGGCCACACUGGGACUGAGAUACGGCCCAGACUCCUACGGGAGGCAGCAGUGGGGAAUAUUGCACAAUGGGCGCAAGCCUGAUGCAGCGACGCCGCGUGAGGGAUGACGGCCUUCGGGUUGUAAACCUCUUUCAGCACCGACGAAGCGCAAGUGACGGUAGGUGCAGAAGAAGGACCGGCCAACUACGUGCCAGCCGCCGCGGUAA
rnacentral:rRNA from 1 species